CAAACACAGACUUGGGAAGAGCUACACAGCACUAGACUGGAAUUUCUCCUCACAAGUCCGACAGCCACAAAUAAUCUCAGGAGCACGGAUAGCCAGAAAUGGAGCCAAUUACAGCAAGUGAGGCAGGGUCUCUCACUGAGCCUGGAGCUUGCUGAUUCAGUUAGACAGGCUGGAGAGAAAACCCCAGGUUUCUUCUCUGUCUCCCCAGUGCUGGGAUUAUAGGACAGGUAGAGCGGUUCUUGGCCAACCCUGAGGUGGUGGGGGCCAGCUCUCACACGGAGAAAAGUUCUGAUCAGCUGUGACCACAGCAACAACAAUGUCCAACACCUCCCCCCGGAAGCUCCUCUGAGCUCUGCA